CGGAUUGGAGUCUGNAACCCGACUCCAUGAAGCUGGAUUCGCUAGUAAUCGCGCAUCAGCCACGGCGCGGUGAAUACGUUCCCCGGGCCUUGUACACACCGCCCGUCAAGCCAUGGAAGCCGGGGGUGCCUGAAGUGCGUGACCGCAAGGAGCGCCCUAGGGUAAAACCGGUGACUGGGGCUAAGUCGUAACAAGGUAGC
rnacentral:rRNA from 1 species